rnacentral:lncRNA from 1 species
UAUGCUGAAGAAGACUGAGUUGAUACCGAGUCAAGAGGCGAUUGGGGGCAACCAGUGAGGAGCAAAGUCAUAGAUGAGCCAGUUGACAUCGGAGUUCUGUAGAAACUCAGUGAGAGGGAGUUGGAGCUGGUCGUAGGCUCGUUUCAGAUUCGGGAAUAGGUGGAAUGGCAACUCGGAGGUGGACUCGGCGGAGUCGGGCAAGCCAUGGACGGCAGGCAGAGGCAGUGGCAGUCGUACCAUGGUUACAAGUGAGGAUAAAUUUGGAAUUUGAGAGAGGCGACGAAGGUUUUUAGGGGUGGAGAGGAAGGAAAUGCGGUGACCCCUUUGAACUAAGUGGCUGGAGAGAUGAAGAAAAGGUAAGAAGUGGCCAAAGGCCAGCCAUGGGAACACAGCUAUGUGAAGCUUCUGAUGCUCUUUCUUCAUCUCAUCCAUGGCAAUGGAGUUGUGAGUUGUGAGAGAAAUGAUCAAGAUUCAAAACUUUGGGUAGAGCAGUGAUGUGAAGUUGCAGAAAGAGUUGUCGACUUGUGCUCAUCAUCAAAGGAGCAGCGCACCAUGGAUGGAUGUCCCGCUGUACUUUUAUUGGACCCUUAUCGUUAAAUCCUAUCACUCAUCCCCGCAAUGGUAAGCCAAGGGGAAAAAGUGUGUUUUGGUGAGAGGGUUUUGAAAAAAGAAAGAAAAAGGAAGAUAAAAUCCUUUAAAAAAUAAUUAAAAUUUUCAUUUCAUCAUCUCUCCUGUUAAACAAAUAUUCGAUUUUUAUAUUAAAAUAUAAAAAAUUUGAUUUAAUUAAAAUUUUAUUUUCAAAUUAUUUAAUCUUUACAUCAGAUAAUUAAAAUAAGUUAAAUGACUUUUAAAUAACAUAUGAAAAUAAUUUAUUAAUUAAAUUUUUUUUUUCUUCCAAUUUUUUCUUCUUAGAGACACAACUUUUCCCAUGAGAAAAGGUAGGAUCUUAAUUAUUGAGCGUGGCGGUGAGAUUUUGAAAUGAAAAUUGAUGGUCCUUGGAAACUAUUACCCGACUUGAAAUAGUUUUCUAUAUGCUAAAAUGAUUAAAUGAAAUAAUUUUUUUUGAGAUUUUAAAAAAAAAUAUAUAUUGUUUUUGGGAAUAAAAUUGAGAUAUCUUCAAUUAUAUUUUAAAAGUGUUUCAAAAAAUAAUUUACAAGAAUUAAUUUUUUUUUACAUUAUACAUUAUGUGCACAAAAUUCAUGAAAAAUAAUUAAAUUUUUUUUUUUCAAUGUUUUCAGAAUUGGAUUAAUCAUUAAAUUGAAAAGUUAUGGAUUUAUGGUUCAAUAGUUUGAUUGAUAGUUAAAUCGCGAUUGAACUGGUGAUGUAAUAAAUAUAUAAUUUAUAUAUUAUAUAAAAUUAAAAUUAUUUAUAAAAUUUAAUAUUAAAAAAUAAUAAUAAUUCAUUUUUAUAUAAUUCAUUUUAUCAAAUUAAAUUGGUAAUAAUAAAUAUAAAUAUAUUAAUAUUUUAAAUUUUAUUAAUUAAAAUAAUACACAUAUAAUAUUUUAAAGAAAAAUUAUAUGUUUAAAAUUGUAUAUUUUUUAUUUUAUAAUAUUUAAAAACAUUAUAUUAUUCUCAUAAAUAUUAUUAUAUAAUAAGUAUAAUUAUUUAAGGGUUUUAAAUAAUAAAAAUUUGAAAGAAGCAUUACUUUCCAAAUCCCAAUAGUCUAACAAUGCUUUUGAUAAGUUGGAGGUCCGAGGGUGAGUCCUCAGACAAACAGAAAAAAAAAAAAAAAGCUCAUGGAUCAUAAGCAAUAGGGCCUAUGAGGCUUGGCUUGGAUGGAAUAAUUAGAUAAUUCAAAAAUUAAGUUUAUUCUAUUAAUGUUUCCAUAAAUUACAAUAUUAUUAGAGAAAUUUUCAUGUGUGACAAAAUAAUAUUGUUAGAAUCACUUUAAAAAAUUCAAAACUAUAUUAUGAAAAAAAAAAAAAAAAAACAAUUAUGCCACUGUAAACCUCAUUUUUUUGUGUAGUUUUUUUAUUAUUUUUGUAGCACUUUGCUGUCAGCGUGUUUUAGAGUGGGGGACGACUGUGAGUUACAUGCAUGGGACAUGUGCCAAGACACCACCACCUUGCCAUGGUGGUAGUUGAGAUGGGGACUCCUUUUGAACAGAUGACAGAGGAGUGGGUGGUGAGCAGUAAAAUUGGUGAAGACUGGAGGUGAAAGAAAAACAGAGCAUGGGUGGGCUGUUUUGAGGGGGUACCAGCUAUGAAGAAGGGAGGGAGAAAAACGAGCAGCGGAGGGGGAUUUUUCUGGGAGAAAAAUCUGGAGAGUGGGUGCUGGGUUUUUGUGGCAGCUGAGGGAUUUUAGAAAGAAAAAGAAGAAGAGAGGUGAGCUGAAAUUUGGGGGGGCGGUGGGGGAACGCGUCUGAAAAUAGAGCAAGAGGAGAGGUGGAGUGAAAACGGGGAGAACGGUUUUUUUGAAAGAAAACAGAGCAAGAGGAAGGUUGUCCACGGGUGAGCGGUUUUUGAGGGAGGCGCCUGAAAACAGAGCAAGGGGAGAGCUGGAAGGAGAAACGGAGGACGUUUUUUUUAAGGAAAAAACAGGCAGCAACUGGAGAGAGAGAUCUAGGAGAAAAACGGAGCACUUGAAGCCAAGUGUGCUUGGCUCAAGAGGAGACACCCAUGUUCAUUGUGAACCGUGUAUUUUCUUAUUUUUGGAUGCCAUUUUACCUGAUGUCUCUGUUAACUUUUGGGUCGUUCUUGCUGGUCCUUCCAUGUUCGUUUCCUUGGCUUACCUUGAAAACUGGUGAGGUUUUUUUUAUCAUGUUCAUUGCGGGGCAUUCUGAAGAUCAACGCAUUUGCUCUACUGGGUGUCAUAUCUGCAUUGUAUUUGUUUUUGGCUUUUGCCUAUUCUGUUCUUCUUUGCAACAUACAUAUAUAUAUAUAUAUAAAAUGAAAGAUAUGGUAGUGUGCUCGAUGGGAGUGAACAGAGUAGGGCAGUCCCACAUAGAUUUUGUUGGGGAACGGAUUUAAAAGUAUGGAAAUCACACCCCUUUUUUUUAGGUUUCUAGGAUUUUUGAGUUUCGGGCUAGGUGGGUUUCUUCUUUUGGUUGGUUUUGCCACUCCAAAUGGCUCUCGUUCCACACUUUUUGAUUCACGUUCAGCAUUUCUCUACUUAGGCCUAUGUUUGGUGGCUGGGAAUUUAUAAGAAACUGAUUUUAGGAUCUGGGUAUUUGGUUAUAUGAGAUGAUCUUAAGAACUGUUUGAGGUUUCUACAAACUGCCUUGCAUUUUCAUAUUAUAAACCCAACACCUCUGGUUUGUUGGAAAUGAGUUUGAAAAAAUAAUAAUUGAGCAACUUGGGGCUUAAUUAAAAGUGUGACCCACAUUCCGAAAAUGUCGGGACCAUGCACCAACGCGUUCUCCUCCGUAAGAGUAUAACGUGGUAUAUUUAUUUGUUCAAAUCCAUUAAGUAUUGAAUGAGAAAAUUGACUCCAAAGUCACCCACUUGAAAUUAUAUAUUUAAGGAAACUUGGUAUAAACUUACCAUAAACACUUUAUCCCACGUAGGAAGGAAGUGUGAGGGGAAUGUGAAGAGUUUAUAUAUUGAAUUUUUGCACUAUAGGAACGGCCCAAGGGGCACCCUAAGUUUGUAAAGGGGAGGACCUACAUGGGUGUAGGCUUGUGUGGGUUUAACCCACACGGGCGCAGCCGCCCGGGCCCAUGGGUCUUGGGCUUGGGCUUGCUAUAUAUAUAUAUAAUUUUUGGGCAAAAAUCAUUUAAGUUUCUGGGUCGGGGUUAUCCGUUGGCUUUUCAUAAUUAAGAUUCAUUGUUAGAGUGUGCCUAUUCCGAACAGGUUCAUGACUAUUCCAAACAGGUACGUGUCUAUUCCGAAUAGGUUUAUACCUAUUCUAAACAGACACUAGGAAGUCUAUAAAUAGACUUUCUACCUCGGCAUUAAUAAAAUAAAAAAAAAAUUCAAUCAAUUCCUGCAUAUUUCUCUCUCUCCUCUUUGCAUCCUUUGUCAGUUCGAGUACAAAAUACAAGUUGUGUUCGUGGUGUUCUACAGAUUGAAGUGCUGCUUUUGUAGAACUGAAAAUCCGUUCUAUCUUGGGAGACAUUUAUUCACUACUUGAGCACCAGAGAGGGAAUAAAAUUGUCUUAAAGAAACAGUGUUGUCAUUGGGCUCGAAUUCAUAGAAUUAAAGUAAGUUCUGUAAUUUCAUUUAUUUUAUUUACAUACUUAUUUAAUGUUUACUUAAAGUAUAAACUGUAAAAAGAUUUUAUUGUUAACAUGGUUUGCUUUUUGCAUCUACUCCCCUUCAUUUUUAUGUAAUUCACCAUUCUCUUCCUCUACAAAGAAUCAAACAUGGCAUUCACAAUUUGAAAAGCUUGACCCAUCAAAAACAAUACAUCGAGGCCCUCAAACGCACCACACAAGAGCCACGUGUCAUCCUUUUUCUUUUUUCUUUUUCCUUCUUUUGAUAUUAAAAUUUUAUUUAUUUUUUAUUUUUUAUUUCUCCAUUCUCCAAUAAUUCAUCAAAAUUCCAAUUUUUAAAUUUAAUUUUCAAGAUUUUAAUUUUAAUUUAAUUUUCAAAACUCCAAUUUUUAAGUUUAAUUUUCAAAACUUCAAUUUUUAAAUCUAAUUUUCAAAAAUCUAAUUUUCCAAACUUUAAUUUUCAAAUUUAAAUUUUAAAAUUUCAAAUUUUAAAUAAUUUUCCAAAACUUCAAUUUUCAAAAUUCUCAAAUUCAUUUAUUUAAUAAUAAUAAUAAUAAUUAUUAUUAUUAUAUUUAUUUAUUUAUUUUUUAAAUUCCACUAUCAAAUAAUUCUUCAAAAUUCCAUUUUCUUAAAUUUAGUUUUCAAACUUCCAUUUUAAAAAUUUUUUGAAAUUUCGAUUAUUAAAUUUAAUUUUUUAAACUUCCAUUUUUAAUUAAUUAUUCAAAUUUUAAUUUUCACAUUUAUUUAUUUAAUUAUUGCUAUUAUUAUUAUUUUAUUUUAUUUUUUUAUUUUUAAAUUACAUUCUCAAAUAAUUCUUCAAAUUUUCAUUUUUUUUAAAUUUAAUCUUCAAGAUUUCCAUUUUCAAAUAAUUCUUUUUUAAAAUUUCAAAUAAUUUCAGAACUUUAAUUUUCUUUCAAAUAAUCUUAAUUUCACUCCAAUUUUCAAAUAUUUUUUUAAUUAACCACUUUUUAUCCUUACUAAAAAUUCUAUUUUUAAAUAAACUUGCUAUAUUUCCUUUCAGGGAAGCACCAUAAAUUUUCUUCGAUUUUAAAAUAAUUUUCCGUUUUUCUUGAUUUCUAACAAGCAUGAAGACAAUUUUCAUAAUUCCAAAAUAAUGGAAUUUGUGGGAUUAAUUUAUACAAAAUCAAUUGGGCUUUGGUGGGGCCCAACAUUCAUAACAUUUGUUUUUAAAAUAAUUUAAGUGAAUUGUAUAGUUAAUAUUGUUUGAUUUUGAUUGGUUUUAUGUGAAAUAUUUUACACUUAUCAUUGUACACCAACCUUGUUUCAUGAUAACACUUUAUUAUAUGUUGUCAAGCUACGAUCUUAUUCCUACUUUGCUUAUUCCUAUGCAUGAUUCGUUUUAUUAUUUGAUCUAUGAUCAUUUUGAUAUUUGUUGAUUUCUUUAUCAAUUAUCACACUUACUUCACCUUAUUUAGUAGAAACCAAUUUUUAAGAGCUUAGAGGAUCCUACGAUUUUUAUCGUACAUUUCCAAUAAGUAAUCUGAUCUUACCUUCAAAUUCUGAUAUUAUCUUCAAUUAGACAAUUUUUCUUAAAACUUCACUAAGAAACACAAUAUCAAAUUUGCUUAUUAUACGUUCUCCUUAUAUACCUCAAAAACCUAAGGGUUCCUUUGUUAGGUUUGUCCAUGAAAGGUGAGUCAAAGCCUAAGAUCAAGUCGAAAGGCAUAGUUGAUGGGUAAUAAGUGAAUAUUCUUGUAUUAUCCCUUGUUAGUCUCGAAAAAUCGAAAAGCAACCCCAUUUUUCACCUUAAAUUAAUCAAAAUAAGUAAAAUUUCUUGCUUUUUGUAAAUGAGUAGAUUUAAUAACUAGGGGUCUAUGGCUAACUGAUAUAAAAUAAUUUAAAUAAAAAAUAUACAAAAUCUAAUCAUUAAUAACCCUGAAUUAAAAUUAAGAAAAUUAUCUUCAAAAGAAUAUGUGCUAAUAGCAUAUUAUAAAAUAAUGAGUAAACUAAAAAUAAAAGAAAGUAAAAAAAAAAGAAGAUGGAGAGAAUUUGAGACGAUGUUUUUUUAGAGAAGGAUGUUAAUACGUGGAUGGAACAAUGCUUUUAUAAGCUUACGUAAAGAAAAAGUAGAUAUCUCCAUUAACUUACUGUUAAUAGAUCAAGUAGAUUUAGUUACUACUGAGUCAUUUUCAAGCACCCGAGUGAACUCAUCUAAAUAUUUGGUUUGCAACUUCACAUUUCCAAAGAUUUCCCUCAUUGCCCAUGCAUUUCUCCUAAGUUGCUCUCCUUCUUCUUCCACCAUAACUCGUUUUAUUGACUUACUCACUGAGUCGCCUGUAAAUGAUCCAUCUCGCUUGUCCCUCGGUACUUCCAACCCGACUCGCUUGCCUUCAAGGAGUCUUGCCACCAACCCCAGAUCUGAAGAAGGCCCGGGGAAAAGAAUCAGCACCCGACCCAACCCGAGAGCCUCGAUCACGGAGCUCCAUCCACAGUGGGUCAAGAAUCCACGAACUGAUGGGUGAGCCAAGAUUUGCUUUUGUGGAGCCCAAUUGGCCCAAACUAAACCACGACCUGAAACCCGACCCUCAAACCCGGUUAUAAUCGGAUCAUCUUUGGUUUUAACCACCCAAAUGAAGGGUAAGCCGGAUUUCUCUAUUCCAGAUGCCAACUCGUUCAUUUCGUCCUGACUCAGAGUCAACUCACUACCGAGUGCAACGUAAAGGACGGAGUUUUCGGUUUUCUCGUCAAGCCAUUGUCUUAACGAGCCCCAGCUCUCGUCUCCCUCGCUGUCGUUCACCUCCGUCGGAAGCAACCCUAUCGGAACGACAGGCUUUUGGUAGAGAUUUUCGAGGAGACUCAGUGAAUCACCCUCUAACUCGGCGCAGCUCCUGGUAGCUACAAAUCGGCAGCCUUCAAUCACCUUUGCCAAUCGGAAGAAAUCGGAAGCUUCCGAGUCCAUGCAGUCCUGGAUGCGGGUCACCUCGUGGAUCCUGAAAGCGACGGUGGACGGAAACGGGAUCCACUCAGGAACCACGGUUAAGUUCUCCACCUGCUGUUGACAGCGGCGGAGAAUCUCCUCCGGCGAGCCCAUGAAAGCGAGUGUGCUGGCAUUGAAAAUGCUGAAGAAGACUGAGUUGAUACCGAGUCGAGAGGCGAUUGGGGGCAACCAGUGAGGAGCAAAGUCAUAGAUGAGCCAGUUGACAUCGGAGUUGUGUAGAAACUGAGUGAGAGGGAGUUGGAGCUGGUCGUAGGCUCGUUUCAGAUAGGGGACUAGGUGGAAGGGCAACUCGGAGGUGGACUCGGCGGAGUCGGGCAAGCCAUGGACGGGAGACAGAGGCAGUGGCACCAUGGUUACAAGCGAGGAUAAAUUUGGAGCAAUUUGAGAGAGGCGACGAAGGUUUUUAGGGGUGGAGAGGAAGGAAAUGCGGUGACCCAUUUGAACUAAGUGGUUGGAGAGAUGAAGAAAAGGCAAGAAGUGGCCAAAUGCCAGCCAUGGGAACACAGCUAUGUGAAGCUUCUGAUGCUCCUUCUUCAUCUCAUCCAUGGCAAUGGGGUUGUGAGUUGUGAGAGAAAUCAAGAUUCAAGACUUCUGGGUAGCGCAGUGAUGUGAGGCUGAAAAGGAGUUGUUAUCGCCAUCCAAGGAGCACUAUACCGAACGAGGGAUGUCCCACCACAGCUUUGUUCUUUGGUGCCCAUUGUUAUUUUGGGUACCCACCCAGACUCCAGUAAUAAAGUGACACGUGUAAAGUGUAUUCAAGUAACUUAUCAAACCGACAAGAUGAAUUAUUGAUCGGAAAUAAUCACAUGCAUAUCAAUCAUAUCUACAUAUUAUAACUUUUUUAUAAUUUAUUAUUAAAUAUCAAAUAUAAUUUCUUAUUUAAUGAACAAUAAAACAUUUAUUUAAAGAAAAAAAAAAAGCUACCGAGUUACCCUUAUACUCUCACUAUUCAAACAUAUAAAAAGGGUACUAAUUUAAUAUGAAAAUUAGGUCAACUAAUGCAUUGAAAAAAAUGGGGAUGUGUUUUGAUAAAACACAUUUGAAUGUCAAGUUCAAAACUUUUUGAGGAAGAAAAGAAAAAAAUUUGUAUUCCUUGAUGAAGAUCAAGGAUUUCAAGUGAUUAUAAGUGUCAAAAGUAAUAUUUGAUUGUUUUUUUUAUUUAAAUAUGAAUUAUGUAGGUAGAAAUGUUAUGUUAAAUAAUAAAUAUGUAAUAAUUUUAUAAUUUUUUAUGAGCUUAUUAUUAAUCAAAUGAGGAUGAUUUAAUAUUAUGUUAUCAAAUUACUAUUAAUAUUUUUAUAUUAUUUUUUUUGUGUGUUGAUAGAUUAGAUUUGAAGAUGAAGUUUUAUGUCUUGCAAAGGGAAAACAAGAAUUUUUGUUUCUUAAGAAGAUAUCAUAUGAAGGAUUUCAAGUGAUUACAACUGUUAAAUGUAACAUUUGAUAUGUUUUUUUUGUUUAUUUAAAUAUAAAUUUUGAAAGUAACAAUGUCAUGUUAAAUAGCAUUUAAAUAUGCAAUGAUUCGAUUUAGAUUUUAAAUUUUUUAUGAGUUAUUAUUAAUCAAAUUGAGACAAUUUAGUCAUUUGUCAUGAAAUUGUCAUCAAUAUUUUAUAUCAUUUUUUUGUGUAUUCAUAUAUUAAAUUUGAAGAUGAAGUUUUAUAUAUCUUGAAGAAGGAAAAUAAGAAUUUUUGUUUCUCAAGAAGAUAUUAUAUUAAGGAUUCCAAGUUAUUACAAGUAUUAAAUGUAAAAUUUGAUUCUUUUUUUUUUAAUUUAAAUAUAAAUUUUGUAGGUAGAAAUGUCGUGUUAAAAAGCAAUUGUUUUAAAUAUGUGAGAGGGGAUAUGAACAAUGUGAGAGAUAGUAUAAAUAGUAUGAGAGAAGGUAUAAGCAAUGUGAGAAGGUGUACAAAAAAUGUGAAAAGGGUAUAAACAAUGUAAGACAAUGUACAAACAAUGUGAUAAGGAGUACGAAUAAUGUNNNNNNNNNNNNNNNNNNNNNNNNNNNNNNNNNNNNNNNNNNNNNNNNNNNNNNNNNNNNNNNNNNNNNNNNNNNNNNNNNNNNNNNNNNNNNNNNNNNNGAAUAAUGUGAGAGGGGGUAUAACAAUAUGAGAUGAGAUACGGACAGUGUCAGAGAAUGUACGAACAUUGUAAAAGAUGAUAUAAACAAUGUGAGAUGAAAUACGAACAGUAUGAGAGAAGGUAUGAACAUUGUAAAAGAUGAUAUAAACAAUGUGAGAUGAGAUACGAACAGUGUGAAAAAAGGUACGAGCAUUGUAAAAGAUUAUAACAAAUAAUAUGAGAGAUGGUACGAACAAUGUGAGAAAUGAUACAAACAAUGUAAGAGAGUACAAAUAAUGUGAGAUGAGGUACGAAUAAUGUGAUAAAUGAUACAAACAAUGUAAGAGAGUACAAAUAGUAUGAACAAUGUGAGAGAGGUACAAACAAUGUGAGAGAUGAUAUGAAUAUUGUAAAAGAUUGUAUGAACAUUGUGAGAGAUUGUACAAACAUUAUAAGAAAUAGUACGAACAUUGUGAGAUGGUGUACAAAUAUUGUGAGAUAGAGUAUGAAUAAUGUGAGAGAUAGUACAAACAUAAUGAGAGAUGGUACAAAGAUUGUAAUAGAGACUAUGAACAAUGUGAAAAAGGGUUGAACAUUAUGAGAUGGGGUACAAAGAAUGUGAGAGAUGAUAUGAAUAUUGUAAGAGAUUGUAUGAACAUUGUGAGAGAUUGUACAAACAUUAUAAGAAAUAAUACGAACAUUGUGAGAUAGAGUAUGAACAAUGUGAGAGAUAGUACAAACAUAAUGAGAGAUGGUACAAAGAUUGUAAUAGAGACUAUGAACAAUGUGAAAAAAGGUUGAACAUUGUGAGAGAGUGUACAAACAAUGUAAGAGGGGUAUGAACAAUUUUAUUAAACAAAUUAAAAUAAUUUAAUUAUUUGUUAUCAAAUUCAAUAUUUUUAUAUCAUUUUUUUUUUUGUAUUUAGGGAUUAUAAAAUAUUAUUAUUAUCCUUAUUAUAUAUAUAUAUAUAUAAAUGAAAGAAUUUGAGAAAUGAUAUGAAACAUGUGAAACAAGGUAUGAAAUGAUAUAAAAAUAUUUAUUUAAAAAAAAACCAAAUUGAUAACAAGUAUGACUAAAUAAUGUAAUUUUCUAACUACUUUUUCUUUUAUAUUUCAGUUCCUUCAUGGAUAUGAUAGACAAAGGCAAAGGAAAUGAAUUCAUCAUCGAUUUGAAGGAUGAAGACUUUGACUACCAAUAUGAUAGUAAUGUGAAAACUGAGUUUGAUGAAGAGUCCAUGUUAGGAAUCUUCACAUUUUUUUGUACUCUUCCCAAAAUUUCAAGUAUUUUUAUGUUUAAAUUUUUUUGUGCAUAAUUUACAUCAAUCAUAAGUGUAAUUAGUAUUUUUAAAUAAUAUCAUAACUAUUGAAAGUGGGAAAAAAUUCUUAAAAAUCAAAGAAGUCAAAAUUUUGGAGGAUACGAAAAAUGUAAGAAAUCCUUAUAUUCUUUGUACUUUCUCUUUAUUUCAUGUUUUUUUUUAAAUUUUGAUAUUUUUCUCCUAAUAUUCCUUCAUUUGUGACUCAAUUAAGCUAUUUUAUUGUUAUUUUUAAUGAAAAAUUAAAUCUUAAAAAUUUUUCAAAUAUAAAAUUUGGAGGAUAGGAAAAAAAUGUGAGAAUGUUACAAAUCAUACCCUUUUCAAUUUAAUUUUUUUAGCCAAAUAAUCUAUCAUUCUUGACUCAGUAAAGUUGUUUUAUUGUUAUUUAGAGUAAAAAAAUAAAUCCUAAAAAUGAUCAACAUGUAACAUUUUUAUGAUUUUUAUUAUAAAGUGUUACUAGGAAUACCAUCUUUUUAUGAUUCAAUUUUACAUUCGUGAAAUAAGAGUAAUAGUAUUGUUUGAUGAGUCAUGCUAAAAACGACUAAAUUAAGUUUAUAUGGUUUUUAUAAUUAUAUUCAAAUAUGUUAUAGCUAAUGUUAUAUAAAAUAUAAUGGAAUUUAAAUGUGUUGUAGUUUUAAUUUCAUAUAAUUAAUCAAAUUUUUUAUAAUUGAUCAUGGUCCAAUUACCUAAUACCUUUGUUUAACCUAUGCUCAAAAUGUUGAAUAUCAAUACAAAUAUUAAUUCCAUAUUAAAACAUCACCAUAUUCAUUUUUAUGUUCGUAAAAAUCAAUAUUCAUGAGGAGCUUACAAACUAAGUGAAUUCAAAUGUUUUACAAAUUUUAUACCAAUUUCAUUUUUAUUUUUAUCCAAUUCUAUUUUUUUUUUAUCUCAUUUAAUUAUUUCAUAUAAACCCAAAAUUGUUUGUUUAAAUACAAUUAUCCAUUAUCCAUUCAUCUUGAAACCCAUUUAUCUCAUCUCAUCAUUUCAUCUUGAAAAAUGAAUGGAACGACUGUUUCCUGCCAAAUAAUGGAUCCAAUGGCUACUAUGUGAUGAGGUGUGAUUGGAUGUUUUUGAUAUAUUCCAACGGCUACAAUGAUGAAUGUGAAGAGAAAAAAUGGAAGAAAAUGGACAAAAUGAAAUCAUGAGGGAGAGAAAGAAAGAGGAAGAAGAGACAAAUGAAGAAGAGGGAAUGGAGGAACCAGUUACUCCUUUAAUAGGUUAUCUUGUUUGUUUUUUUUUUUUUUUUAAAUUUAAAAUGGAUGGCCAAGAUCUAAUGACUAGAGAAUUUUUUUGGUACUAUAGAAUUUUCCAUCCCAUAAAUCCUAUUACUUUUCCCCCACAAUGGGUAAGCCAAGGGGAAGAAGUGUGUUUUGGUGGGAGAGUUUUGAAAAUGAAGGGAAGAAUCCUUAAAAAAAAAAAAAAUAGAAAAAUAAUUUUCUCUUUGAUUUUUACAUAAAAAUAUAUAUAAAAAAUCAAAUAUAAUAAAAAUUAAUUAAAAAUUUAUAAAUUUUUAAAUUAUUUAAUCUUUAUAGAAAAAGUAAAACGAGUUUGAAAUAUCGUAUAAAAAUAAUUUAUUAACUUUAAAUCAAUUUAUUUAUUUUUCCACUUUUUAUUUCCUUUCACUUUCUUUUUAUUUUAUUUCUCUUAUAUAUUCCCUUAAAUUUUUAUGAACCAAAUAUAACUUAAAAGCUUAAUAUAUCCCAAUAAAAAAAAUAUUAUUUGCAUUAAUAUUUAUAAUCCACCUUUAAUUUAAAAAUAUGUAAAACAAUAAUAGAUAUUUUGUGUUGGACGUCAUUUGUCUUAUCCGGGCUGAGCCGUGGAGUAUAUUUGGCUCUGUGGGAUGCUCGAGUCCGGAGACUACACGUUUCCCCACAAAGUGGCCUCCCCAGGAUUUGAACUCAAGACCUUAAGGUCUUUUGGUUUGCCCUNNNNNNNNNNNNNNNNNNNNNNNNNNNNNNNNNNNNNNNNNNNNNNNNNNNNNNNNNNNNNNAUUUUGGAAUCACAUAUUUUGGCAUAUUAAAACACAACUUUUCCCAUGGAAAAAGGCAUGAUGGUCCAAUUACCUAAUACCUUUAUUUAACCUAUGCUCAAAAUGUUGAAUAUCAAUACAAAUAUUAAUUCCAUAUUAAAACAUCACCAUAUUCAUUUUUAUGUUCGUAAAAAUCAAUAUUCAUGAGGGAGCUUACAAACUAAGUGAAUUCAAAUGUUUUACAAAUUUUAUACCAAUUUCAUUUUUAUUUUUAUCCAAUUCUAUUUAUUUUUAUCUCAUGAAGGGCAACUCGGAGGUGGACUCGACGGAGUCGGGCAAGCCAUGGACGGGAGGCAGAGGCAGUGGCACCAUGGUUACAAGUGAUGAUAAAUUUGGAGCAAUUUGAGAGAGGCGACAAAGGUUUUUAGGGGUGGAGAGAAGGGAAAUGCGGUGACCCAUUUGAACUAAGUGGUUGGAGAGAUGAAAAAAAGGCAAGAAGUGGCCAAAUGCCAGCCAUGGAAACACAGCUAUGUGAAGCUUCUGAUGCUCCUUCUUCAUCUCAUCCAUGGCAAUAGGGUUGUGAGUUGUGAGAGAAAUCAAGAUUCAAG